GAUGAACGCUGGCGGCGUGCCUAAUACAUGCAAGUCGAGCGAACAGACGAGGAGCUUGCUCCUCUGACGUUAGCGGCGGACGGGUGAGUAACACGUGGAUAACCUACCUAUAAGACUGGGAUAACUUCAGGAAACCGGAGCUAAUACCGGAUAAUAUUUUGAACCGCAUGGUUCAAUAGUGAAAGACGGUUUUGCUGUCACUUAUAGAUGGAUCCGCGCCGCAUUAGCUAGUUGGUAAGGUAACGGCUUACCAAGGCAACGAUGCGUAGCCGACCUGAGAGGGUGAUCGGCCACACUGGAACUGAGACACGGUCCAGACUCCUACGGGAGGCAGCAGUAGGGAAUCUUCCGCAAUGGGCGAAAGCCUGACGGAGCAACGCCGCGUGAGUGAUGAAGGUCUUCGGAUCGUAAAACUCUGUUAUUAGGGAAGAACAAAUGUGUAAGUAACUAUGCACGUCUUGACGGUACCUAAUCAGAAAGCCACGGCUAACUACGUG
rnacentral:rRNA from 1 species